UUUAGUUGAUCCCGCCGGAGGCAAUCGCUAUCCUAUUCAGAUUAAGCCAUGCGAGCCGCGAGGUGAAGACUCGGCGAACUGCUCCGUAAUACGCAGUCAACCUUCCCUGUUCUGGGGGAUAACCUCGGGAAAAGUCAGUCUGUGAAUAUGGGAUGAUCCAUCGACUGACUCCCGAAACUGAGUCUAAUACCCCAUAGUCCUUCCGUGCUGGAAUGCUGGAAGGACAAAAGUCACGGCGGAACAGGAUGGGACUGUGGCUGAUUAGGCUGUUGUCGGUGUAACGAACCGACAAACCGUUGAUCAGUAGGGGCUAUGGAAGUAGGAGCCUCGAGAUGGACUCUGAGACAUGAGUCCAGGUUCUACGGAACGCAGCAGGCGCGAAACCUUUGCAAUGCGCGUAAGCGCGACAAGGUGAGUCGGAGUGCAGUUGUAUAAACAACUGCUUUUGCCCACUGAAAACGGGUGGGUGAAUAAGGACUGGGUAACACGAGUGCCAGGCGCCGCGGUCAUACUCGGAGUCCAAGUUGAUUGCCACUAUUAUUGGGUCUAAAGCGUCCGUAGCC
rnacentral:rRNA from 1 species